rnacentral:rRNA from 1 species
UACGGGGGGAGCAAGCGUUGUUCGGAUUUACUGGGCGUAAAGGGCGCGUAGGCGGCGCAACAAGUCACUUGUGAAAUCUCCGGGCUUAACCCGGAGCGGUCAAGUGAUACUGUCGUGCUAGAGUGCGGAAGGGGCUACUGGAAUUCUCGGUGUAGCGGUGAAAUGCGUAGAUAUCGAGAGGAACACCUGCGGCGAAGGCGGCCUGCUGGGCAGUAGCUGACACUGAGGGCCGCGGACAAGCGUGGGGAGCAAACAGG